rnacentral:rRNA from 1 species
CUACGGGUGGCAGCAGUCGAGAAUCAUUCGCAAUGCGCGAAAGCGUGACGAUGCGACGCUGCGUGGAGGAUGACUGCCUUCGGGUUGUAAACUCCUGUCAUGAGGGAAAAGACGGUUGCGGAUUAAUAGUCCGUGACCCCGAUGGUACCUCAAGAGGAAGCGACGGCUAACUUCGUGCCAGCAGCCGCGGUAAUACGAAGGUCGCGAGCGUUGUUCGGAUUUACUGGGCGUAAAGCGUGCGUAGGCGGUCAUGCAAGUCGGAUGUGAAAGCCCGGGGCUCAACCCCGGAAGUGCGUCCGAAACUGCAUGACUUGAGCAUGGAAGAGGAGAGCGGAAGUCACGGUGUAGCGGUGAAAUGCGUUGAUAUCGUGAGGAACGCCGGAGGCGAAGGCGGCUCUCUGGUACAUGGCUGACGCUGAGGCACGAAAGCGUGGGGAGCAAACAGGAUUAGAUACCCGCGUAGUC